UGUUUGACGGUACCUAUAAAGGAAGCACCGGCUAACUCCGUGCCAGCAGCCGCGGUAAUACGGGGGGUGCAAGCGUUGUUCGGAAUUAUUGGGCGUAAAGCGCGUGUAGGCGGUCUGAUUAGUCUGAUGUGAAAGCCCUGGGCUCAACCCAGGAAGUGCAUUGGAUACUGUCAGACUUGAAUACGGGAGAGGGUAGUGGAAUUCCUAGUGUAGGAGUGAAAUCCGUAGAUAUUAGGWGGAACACCGGUGGCGAAGGCGGCUACCUGGACCGAUAUUGACGCUGAGACGCGAAAGCGUGGGUAGCAAACAGGAUUAGAUACCCUGGUAGUCCACGCCGUAAACGAUGAGAACUAGGUGUCGCGGGUA
rnacentral:rRNA from 1 species